rnacentral:lncRNA from 1 species
AAUAGAUUUUCGUUUGAGUUGACUCAAAAGAAAUAUUGUUUACGAACUUGAACCAAUAAGAUACAACGAAUUCACAAAAGAGAAAAAAAAAGCACACAACAAACGCUAAACACGAAUGAACGAACACAAAGACUAACUAACAAUCUAGUAGAUGAGUACUAGUUUGCCAAUUAGUAUUGGAACCAACAAGCGAAACUACGGAACAAUAAAAAGAAACUAAGAAAAUCUGAAAUUUGAGCCAAAAUUUGAUGCGUGAACAGUAACUUGAGGAGGUGGCAGCCACGUAUUGAUUGCGGUUUCUACAAUUUUUAUUUUCCAAAGU